UAGGUGAACAAGCAUAAGUGUACAAGCUUAAGUGUAUUAGCAGGGUAUAGGUGGACUUUGAGUUUAACAAUCUGUGCAUCUUUACAGUAGGGUUAAGCAUGGUAACACUUUCUCUAUUUAAAGUGGAUGUCUAAGCUCUGUGGUUUGCUAGUGUGAUUUUCUAGAGUGUGUUUCUCGCUUGGUGCUUUGUGUAAAUCAUGCUGCGUUAUCUGUAGACAGUGUGUCUAGCUAAGCAUAGUUGGAGUUGGUGCUAGGGCAAAUAGUUACGAGCAUAAGUCUAUGUCCAUG